CCUACGGGAGGCAGCAGUGAGGAAUAUUGGUCAAUGGACGAGAGUCUGAACCAGCCAAGUAGCGUGAAGGAUGACUGCCCUAUGGGUUGUAAACUUCUUUUAUAUGGGAAUAAAACGUUCCACGUGUGGGAUUUUGUAUGUACCAUAUGACUAAGGAUCGGCUAACUCCGUGCCAGCAGCCGCGGGAAUACGGAGGAUCCGAGCGUUAUCCGGAUUUAUUGGGUUUAAAGGGAGCGUAGGUGGAUUGUUAAGUCAGUUGUGAAAGUUUGCGGCUCAACCGUACAAUUGCAGUUGAAACUGGCAGUCUUGAGUACAGGAGAGGUGGGCGGAAUUCGAGGUGUAGCGGUGAAAUGCUUAGAUAUCACGAAGAACUCCGAUUGCGAAGGCAGUUCACUGGACUGCAACUGACACUGAGGCUCGAAAGUGUGGGUAUCAAACAGGAUUAGAUACCCCAGUAGUC
rnacentral:rRNA from 1 species